rnacentral:lncRNA from 1 species
GGGGGGUUUGGCCAGCGAGGGAAGGGGCGUAGCAUAAACUGUUUUGGGGACAGACGAGUCAUUUCAGAGCUUCCAGUUCGGAGCCCACGGGCCGGACACAGAGAGCAGUGCUCUCCCCGGGAGGACAGGUUGGCAGCGAGGAAGCGGAGCCGGAGCCAUCCCCUGGCCCAGGUGAGAGGAAGAUGAAGGUCCUGCUGACGCUGGCCGUGCUGCUUGCCUACAGUGUGUUCACGGCUCGUGGGAAGCACCCCCGCGCGUUUGCACCGGGACUGGAGGGAAGCACCGUAGGAAAUCUGACUGCCCACAGCUGCUACACCUCGAGGGCUUCAACGGACCGGUGCUGCCGGCUCCGUGCCUGCUGCUACGCCAGGCUGGCUGCACAGCGAUGCCGCCCGGGACCGAUCCAGCCCAUCUCGGUGCCCGGGGCAGGAAUCCCCACCUGCAGGUCCGGGACCCGGUGCCAGCGAGGUGCCUGCAGAUGUGAGCGGGCAGCCCAGCUCUGCCGGCUGCGUGGACGGGGGAUGCCCCGGCGUCGCAGCAAGUGCCAGGGACGAGCCGGGCGGUGUUGAAGCAAAAGGGCUUUUUUUAUAUAUAUAUAUUUUUUUUUUUUUUGCAAAACCACCUCCAAGCUGGGUAAGAAAAGGGACGGAGGAGCGUUUCCCAACUCCUCCUCGGGGCUUUUUUGGCUUCAGCAUGAGGACAACAACCCCCUGGUGAAGUUGCGUCACUGUACACUGGAUGCGAGGAGGGAGAGCGGCGCAGACACAACGUUUCAGUGCAGAAAAACAAGGGAGGGGUGGCCACCUGCCCCUCGUCCCGGCAAAGAGCGAGGUGGAAACCGGCGCGAGCCUCUUGGCUGACACUCAUUUCCCCUUGGCUCCAGCUCCCCGUGCAGUCUGUCAGCUCCCUCUGCUUUUUGCUUCGCUGCAAAAUCUCUUCCGUUGCUCCAAAAUAAAACCAGAGCGCGCAAAACA